CUUUUUGCGGAUACAGACUAACACGGCUGCUACUCUCAAACUAACUUAGUUAUUUCCUUUAUAGUUUCUGUUAUUUAACCUGUAUUAUCCUCUGUGGAGCUAAUGCAUGGAAUAAAGGAUCAUAUAUUUCAAGGCUAAUAUCAGAUGGUUGUUUCAAUGCUACUGGGAGUCCAAGCCAUGGAAUCACCUGAAAUAUUUUUAUGAAUUGUCUAAGACAAUAGCACAGAAUAUGUUUGUAAAGUGAUAAGCAGUACAUUCAAUAAAACCUAAAGAAAAAUACAUUCCAAUUUAAUACAUCUACUGUGUAACUUGAUCCAUUUGCUGUAUAAGAAAAAGGCUCAUACUACACUGUCAAUGUUGUAUCCAGUGCUGCAUCUUCUAUUGGCAUUCCAAAAGUGUCCUAUCCAUAAGCUUUCUUUAAUUGAAGUUACAUGAAAAAUAUGUGGUGCAGGAAGCAUUAUUCUGAUGACACAACUUGUUUUUAAGUUAUGGAUAGGUCCUACCUUUCUAACUCAUAACAGUGCUUUGGGUGGAUUUUAUUUCAUUUUUGCCCUGGCACUUUUUUUCUUGUUUAGACACUUGUGCAUUUCUAUAAAAAACAAACAGACCUCUCCCCCUCUCUCCCAGGGACAUGCCAUCUUGUGCUGUGAUCUUGCAAGAUCUCAAGCAAAGCCAGAUCGGGCCUGGUCAGUACUUGGGAGCAAGAUUGCCAAGGUACACCUUCAGGAAAUGAGAUUGGUGGUAGCUGCUCCAUUUAACCUCAGAGGUGAAGGUUAAAGUGAACUUGGUGUAAAGUACUUCUAUAAAUGUUGAAAAGUUGGAGGAAACUUUCUAACCACAAGGGAGAUGAGCUGGUGGAAUAGUUUCUCCUAAGGAAUUGCUGGAUGCCUCAUCCCUUAG